UAGCCUACUAUUUAACUUAGGUACAACCCUGCCCUCUGACUUUUAACAGCCGCGGUAUCCUAACCGUGCUAAGGUAGCAUAAUCACUUGCCUAUUAAUUAUAGGCUAGAAUGAACGGGAUCACUCACUUAAACUUAUUUUUAUUUAAAUUUAAAUUAAACUUUAAGUCAAAAUACUAAAUUAAAAAGAAAGACAAAAAGACCCUGAAAACUAUUAGAAAUAAUUAGUUGGGGCAACUAUAGACCACUCUAGCGUCUAUUUUUUUUUAAACUCUUAAAAUCUAAAGUAUCCAGUUACUUCAGGGAUAACAGACUAAUUUUAUUAUUUAGACCCAAUAAAUAAUAAAGAUUGGCACCUCGAUGUUGGCUUAUAUUUCCUUCAUAUAGCAACAUAUAUAGAAGGCAGCUUGUUCAUCUGUUAAAUAUUUACAUGAGCUGAGUU
rnacentral:rRNA from 1 species